GGGUUCAUACGUUGGUCGGGCUUUUGGGUCUGUACUGGCGUAAUGGAUUCCUACCUUCUGAAUAACCGGCAUGCCAUUAAUUUGGUGCGCCGGGGAAGCAGGACUGUUACCUUGAAAAAAUUAGAGUGUUUAAAGCAAGCUAACGCUUGAAUACAUUAGCAUGGAAUAAUGAAAUAGGACGUUCGAUCCUAUUUUGUUGGUUUCUAGGAUUGACGUA
rnacentral:rRNA from 1 species